rnacentral:lncRNA from 1 species
CAGCCUUGGGUUCCAUUGUCAGCAGUAUACCAACAGUGUGGUGAUUACAGACAUGUAUGUCUGUAAGUCCAGCAUUCAGGGAGGGAGGCAAGAAGGUCAGACAUUAAAGGUCAAUUUCAGGGCAAACUAAGCUAUGUGCGACCCAGCCACAAUUAGUUAGUUAAUUAGUUUAUUGCUUCUAUUACUGCUUUACUGAUGUUUCUAGUUUCAAACAUCAGUGUAGUUUCCUCUUUCAGUUAAAAAUUCAUUUGAAGUGCUUGCUUUCUUAGUAAUGGACUUUUCACUGGCACUGAAAUUAGAGUUCUCAAUAAAAGGAGAAUUGUGCCUGGCUGCCCGACCUCUAGUCACUUAAUCUGGGACAAGCCUUCUGAAGAGCCAGCAUCAGCAGCAUCAGCUCUGCCAUGGGUGACAGUACAUGUGCACACAGGUUACACAGCAGGGAAUUACAGUUAUUUCUGUGAGUGGGUGUUAGAUGUCCUGGAACAAGAGACUCUGGAUGUGCUGACAGGAAGAAUACUCAUGGGCCUGCAUCACUGUCGCCUUAGAAACAACACACUGUAUGUAAUAAAUGUCUGCCACCAGGAAACAUUAUAUAUCAUGAGCACAAAAAAAAAAAAAAA